AGUCAUCGUUUUUACACCCCACUGAAAAAUUGUCACUUUACACGCAAAGGCGUUUCCUGGCCUUCCUGAUCCAUGACUAUGGGUGAGAUAGUUCCCGCGGAUGUAAAACUGAUUCAAAAACUCAACCGACAAGCCGAUGCACUUCUAGCCCAAUGGACAGUAAUAACAUCACAAAUCCAAAAUCUUCGCGUUGAAGUUCAACGGCUCCUAAUCGGCAGCCAGCGAACGUUGAGAUCGCGGAAUCCCAACGUCACUUACGAAGUACGUCGGCUAUCAAGACGAUCAGCUUCUGGGUCAACUCCGAUCGUAGACGCUAACCGAAGACGAAGACGCAGUCGAACAACUCAUUUGCAACAUCCUGGCAGAACUUCGUCUCGAAACCGGUCCCGUUCAAGAACUACCCGUAGUCUUCGCCAGAACAGUACUGUACGCUCUUUGAAACGAUGCUGAAAGUUCCAUUUUCAUUUGUUUCGACAAUCGCCAGUUCAAAAUUUUCCAUAUAAUCAUCGGUGUUUAAAAAAAUCAGACCAACCCAAGUAGGUAUCUCUAUGGAACCCUGUAUAGCUCAAGCAUUAUCUAUUCACUGCAAUGAUAUUCAAACAAUAUUGAUGAAAAUGAUAGCUACUCA